ACAUGGCGGACCAGGCAUACGGUGAAGAGUUAUUCCAUCGCAUUUAGGAAUGGAAGUUUCAGCUUCAAAUUAAGUUCUGGAAAACCAAUUUGAAUGAAGCAUCCCCGUAAAGUGGUGAUUCUUUGGGAUAAGAUAGGUCAUUCUAAGACCUCUCCAUGGCAGCCAGGAGCACAUGAUCUUUUCUUCGGAAAUGUUAUUUCUCCUCCGGUAGACCCGGUGACAU